rnacentral:lncRNA from 1 species
CAUAAAAGAAGAGUUCUGUGCGGAAUGUUUGCUCUACAGAACUAUUUAAUAUCCUCUGACCUUAAUCCUAUAAGAUCCAACUUUCCAGAAGAAGGGAGGAGGAAAUUAGAAGGAAGAGGAGGAUGAGGAUGAGAAGAAGAAAGACAAAAGAAGAAGAAAAAAGAAGUAGAAGACGCAAGAACAAUUUUAAAGUAUAUGCUGUGCCUCUGCAAGUCUCUGCAAGACUUUUAUAUGAAGGAGAUCCUCCUCAGCCUUCUCAACCUAAAGGUGGCACUUGGGACAGAGGUCCAUAACAUGGGGAGGAUAUGGAAGAUGGGCAACUAGAUAAGCCUUGGGAACUCACACACCCUGAUAAUGGGCCCAUAUCUUACCAUACUUGCCAAUACAUGAAGGGUACUUCAGGCCACAAAUUAGGAAUGGGAGAAAACACAGGUUACAAGUAGAUGUGGAUAAAGGCUGGGGUAUAUCUGUUCCCUAUUCCAUACUCUGUUCACCCAAGGGACAGUGCUGAAGAGCUUUGUAUCUGAGUGAUCAAGAGGAUGAGGCCAUGCUCCCAACAGCUUAGUGAAAGACCUCCGAAGGGAGACCCUCACUUGAGUCUUGGGAUAAUAGAGGACCCCCAAGAACUCACGAGGGACCAAACUUGAUGCAAACCACACGAGGCUUUAUUCGGGGAAAGCCAGAGCUCUGGGGACGACCUGUAUCCCACACAGGGGUAGAGGAGUUGACCUCGAGGGGAAAGGGGUCCCAGUUUUUAUAGGUCCUCAAGAGGGAAAGGAGAAGGAGGGAGUAGGGGAUUUCCAGAUCUAAACAAUGUCUAUUCUAAAAUGAUUGAUUUCUCAAGAAAUGGGUAUGGGAGGGAAACAAGGAAAGAGUCUAAUGAAGGUGCAGUAACUCCAGAUUGGUCCCGACUAUGGUUGCUGGGGAGAUUUUCCGACUCUAUCCCAGCAACCAAUAUCACAAACACAUGGCAGUGAGGUGAAGCAGUGGGCACACACCUGGGUUCAAGGAACGGUCAGAACAUUGGCAGACACACGGGUUCAAGGAGCAGCCAGAGCAUUGUGCACCUCUAUUUUUCUAAAUCAGUGAAGCUACUUCUACUAACAAUGAAAUCUAUUUUGCCAAUUUCAGGGCUUCUGUGACCUUUUACAUUCUGUCAGGAUCUUUCAUUAGCAUGCUGCUGCAUCUUUGCCCCUGAUCCAGCAGUACAAUUCCAAAGGAGAAGCCAACAAAGCUCUCUGGAAAGUAGAUAGGUCUGCAGACUUUGAGGCAUUCUGAGUCCAGCUGACCUUA